GGCUGCUGCAGAAAUAUUCUUUCCCUCCUUUCUAUCCCUUAGGAUGGCUUGGUUUUUUUUGAGCAUGGAGAGAAGAACAAGGAGUCAGUCAAUACAGAAAUACUUUGAGGAACUUCAUCUCAAUGUUAGACAUCUUGCUUCUGAAACUACACCCUGAACAGAAACAAAUACAAGAAUGUUUACCACCAAAGAUAAAGUGGCAAUCAAUCAAUACAAAGGAGCUGCUGUUCUUAAUUUGAGAAAAACAGAGCUAGAAGAAAAGUUUGAAAAUAUUGAAAAGGAAAAAUAGACUUUACAGAAAAAAUACCAACUUUAUGACUACAUCAAACUUGC
rnacentral:lncRNA from 1 species